GUGGGGUCCGGAAGAUUUACAGCACAUUGGACUGGAGAUAAUGCUGCGACAUGGGAUGACUUGGCGUAUUCCAUUCCGAGUAUUUUGAAUUCCGGGUUAUUUGGGAUUCCGAUGGUGGGGGCUGAUAUUUGUGGUUUUUCUGGAGAUACUACUGAAGAACUCUGCCAGAGAUGGAUUCAGGUAAGUCUUGUAAAUUAGAGCAUUUUACUUUGAAAAAUUUACCUAAUUAUAGCAACUUGAUUACAAAUAAAUUCAAAUAGAAUACAAACAUCGGUUUGAUGAUUUGCAGUUGGGUGCUUUUUACCCAUUUGCAAGAGACCAUUCCGACAUACAAAGCACAAGACAAGAGCUUUACCUUUGGGAUUCAGUAGCAGCAACAUCUCGAAAAGUCCUCAGCCUUCGUUACCAAAUGCUCCCUUAUCUCUACAUGUUAAUGUACGAAGCCCAUUCAAAAGGCACUCCCAUCGCACGACCUCUCUUCUUCUCAUUCCCGGAAGACACCAAC
rnacentral:lncRNA from 1 species